rnacentral:tRNA from 1 species
GGGGCAUAGCUCAGCUGGGAGAGCGCUUGCCUUACAAGCAAGAUGUCACAAGUUCGAGUCUUGUUGUCCCC